GACCUCGGAUCAGGUAGGGAUACCCGCUGAACUUAAGCAUAUCAAUAAGCGGAGGAAAAGAAACCAACAGGGAUUGCCUCAGUAACGGCGAGUGAAGCGGCAACAGCUCAAAUUUGAAAUCUGGCCUUCGGGUCCGAGUUGUAAUUUGCAGAGGAUGCUUCGAGCAUGGUCUAGUCUAAGUUCCUUGGAAUAGGACGUCAUAGAGGGUGAGAAUCCCGUAUGCGACUGGGUGCCUAAGCUCAUGUGAAGCUCCUUCGACGAGUCGAGUUGUUUGGGAAUGCAGCUCAAAAUGGGUGUAAAUUUCAUCUAAAGCUAAAUAUUGGCCAGAGACCGAUAGCGCACAAGUAGAGUGAUCGAAAGAUGAAAAGCACUUUGGAAAGAGAGUUAAAUAGCACGUGAAAUUGUUGAAAGGGAAGCGC
rnacentral:rRNA from 1 species